UGGGGAAUAUUGCACAAUGGGCGCAAGCCUGAUGCAGCCAUGCCGCGUGUGUGAAGAAGGCCUUCGGGUUGUAAAGCACUUUCAGCGAGGAGGAAGGUGGUGGACUUAAUACGUUCAUCAAUUGACGUUACUCGCAGAAGAAGCACCGGCUAACUCCGUGCCAGCAGCCGCGGUAAUACGGAGGGUGCAAGCGUUAAUCGGAAUUACUGGGCGUAAAGCGCACGCAGGCGGUUUGUUAAGUCAGAUGUGAAAUCCCCGGGCUCAACCUGGGAACUGCAUUUGAAACUGGCAAGCUAGAGUCUCGUAGAGGGGGUAGAAUUCCAGGUGUAGCGGUGAAAUGCGUAGAGAUCUGGAGGAAUACCGGUGGCGAAGGCGGCCCCCUGGACGAAGACUGACGCUCAGGUGCGAAAGCGUGGGGAGCAAACAGAUUAGNUACCCUGGUAGUCACGCUGUAAACGAUGUCGAUUUUGGAGGUUGUGCCCCUUGAGGCGUGGNUUCCGGAGCUAACG
rnacentral:rRNA from 1 species